CUUAUUUUCAAGUUCAAAAUAAUCAAGCACAUUGGUUAAAAGGGAGGCUUUUUUUUUUUGUUUCUUUAUCUUCCUUUCCUUAGUCUCUCAGUUGGACCACUAUUCUUCCCCAGUCUCUCAUGGAACACCCACUGCUUCCCUCCCCUUUCUUACCACUGGAAGCUUUCUUUUCACUGAAGCAAGGCCACAGUGUGAGGAAUUUCAUAAAAACAAGACAGCCCAUCCCCCACUCCCACCUCAGAAUGCUUUAUAGAACCAGGGCUGCCUCACCCUGUACGAGUUGGUUUGCCUAGAACAGUCUUGCUUCUCAAAGGAUGCCCAUCCCAAUAAGACAACUAGCCUAAAAGAAUCAGUUUCAGGAAUAAAACAUAGUUUAGGAAAGACACAAAGAAUAACAAAGUUGCCGCGUCACUUACCUCUUUGUUCUUUAUGACCACCAGACAGGUUAGCCAGCUGAAUCAAAAGGAAAGCAACAGGAGAGAUCGAUAAGUCAGCCAAGACUUUAGAGUCUAAAGGGCUUCAAAAGCUGACAGGGGAAUAUUUUAAAAAUUUCAUUUUAGAUUUGAAUGGAAAGAGGGAUGACAUUUUUUUUUUUCUAAAGGCAGGUCAAAUACUACGCCAUCAUUGGUCAUCUGGAUGAGAGUAUAGUAGGUUUGUAGGACGCAAGUGUAAGGCACCAGUGGGACGAAUGUGCCUGGCUAGCAUACCAGUGCUUAGUCUGCAGUAUGGUCAAGCAGCGUUUGUGAGGAAAAUGUAUUAUGUAUUACACCUGCCUAUGCUUAAAAAGAGGGAUGAACUCAUCAAAAGGUAAAAUGUGCUGUGUAUUACUUUUGAGAUAGCAUUCUCCUCCGUGUGAAUUCCCUAGACUGUUUGAAGCUAUAAUUUCUGUUUCUGCUGUAGGACCAAUGAGAGUUCUAUGAUUUCUUUAUUUCUUUAUUGUCCCACUGUCUGUCUGCCUGUCUGUCUGUCUCUUUACAAUUUUUACUUUAUUAUUUUAUUUUAUUCUUAUUUUGGACAAUUUGUUAGUGAACUAUGAGCACGUGAAAAUUUAUUUUCACACUUGAAUGGGACGCUUCCCUUGCUUAUGUUAAGAAAAAAAAUGAUUAUAAAUGAAACCAAUUUCCUUUCAGACUGUAUUAGGCACACAAUAAGGACCUCAUAGCAAUGUAUGGAAAGUCAAAAACUCAAGGUGGUAUUGCAUAUCUUGAUAUAUUUUUCUGUUUGUUUGUUUGUUUGUUUUUUGGCUUUUGUUCUAAGACAAUGAAUUUGUGUAUUGUAAAUGUGUUGUUUCACAUGGCUGUCCAUUUAUUUUUAAGUAGAGGAAUCUGUUUGUUACCAUGAUGAACAGUGUGGCCUUUUUUCUUUAAUUUUUUUUUUUGCAUUUUCAUUAUUAACACUAAUUGCUCUUAUGCCACACACUUCUUAUGUUUCCUCUUAAACUCAGUUUACAAAAUGUAGGGUACAGAUAGAGUUCUCACUGGUGAUGGUGAAGAAAUGAGCCUUCUACAUUACCUCUAGUUUUCUUUCUCAAGUUUAUCUACAUACCAACAGCCUGUAGCCUUAGGGCAGUGAAGGGAUGCCUGUGUAUUUUCUUUAUUUCAAAAAUGUAAAUGAAACAUAACUUUUAACAGCGGCUCACUGUGUGUCUCAUUUUCCAUACCAAGGAAAUUUAGAAGUUAGCAAUCAGAUUGUAGGUCGUAUAUAUACAACUUAAAACUGACAUGCCAGACCAGAUGUUGCUCAAGCUGCUGGAGAAGUCCACGUACACAAGAGUCCAGUCUUCACGGAUGCCAUUCCCUGGCAGCAUUUGAGGGGAGUACAGGAGAACAUGUGGGCCGUUGGCACAUAGUGUGUUUUGCAGAUGCUCCAUCUAGCUAUUCCUUAGCACACCAGAAGAAUAUUAUAAUGCAGAGCUCUGUCUUUAUUGACUUUCAGACUAAAGUGACUUUCUGUUGGACUCCUCUUCUCCUCAUACAAACACAGAGGCCCACUCACAAAGUAGUACUGACUCCAUCCAGAUUACAUGAAUAGUAAAUAUCUUCCCCUAAUGUAUGGGUAUGCAAAAACGUCUCCUGUUUUGUUUAACCCCAAACCUUCCAUUUCAUACUAAGCAAUCACAGGGAGUGAGAGACAAUGGGCUUGUUAUGAAUUAACAUUAAGUAAUCAUGAAAGGAAUGGAAUGUUCCAUCCUUUGUCAGAAGCCCUGGUGUGGAUGUUGUUCAAUUAGUGCUAAAGCAUAGAAAGACUAGCUGAUUGUAUCAGUAAUC
rnacentral:lncRNA from 1 species